rnacentral:lncRNA from 1 species
UAAUUUAACAAUUGGUUUCUACCUUUUUUCAUUUCAAACUUUCUCCCUUCCCUUCCCUGUUCCCAGGUGGUGAACCAUCUGAUAUUGAUUAUUCCAGUGUUGUCAUGCAAAACAAAUUUCUAUAUUCCUUAUGUCAAGAAGGAAGACAUAUAUUAUACAUGUAAGAAGAAACUCAUGAAGGAAAUAAGGCAAGAAAUGGAGGAAAACACAAAUUCCAAGUGCUUCCCUCCACAUGGGUGAGGAUAAAAUGGAGACCAGAUUCGGAUAAUGUGUAGCAGAAAAGGUGAAGAAACUGAAGCUAAGAGGGAAAGUAUCUUUCCAACUUCCAUAAUGCUAGACAUUCUCUAAGGAAGAUCCUACUAUCUCUUGGACUAUAUGCCAUAUUUCUGACUGAAAGACUUCCAAACCAUAAUGUCUCUUCAUGGACCUUCCCUCACUACUUUAGGUCUCCUUGCUUUAGAAAAUAUAGCUACCCAUGUGACCUUCUCAAGAUAGAACAUUCCUUUGUAGACCUACUCUCUUCUUUCAUUGGUGAGUUUCCUUGGAGACUGUUUUAUAGAGGUACCAAUUCCAC